rnacentral:tRNA from 1 species
CGCGGGAUGGAGCAGUCUGGUNNCGGGCUCAUAACCCGAAGGUCGUAGGUUCAAAUCCUGCUCCCGCAA